GCGCACGGGUGAGUAACACGUGAAUUAUCUACCUCCGAGUGGGAAUAACUGAGAGAAAUCUGUAGCUAAUACCGCAUAACACUUACGAGUCAAAGCAGCAAUGCGCUUGGAGAGGAGUUCGCGGCCGAUUAGCUUAGUUGGCGGGGUAAUGGCCCACCAAGGACUGUAUGAUCGGUAUCCGGCCUGAGAGGGCGCACGGACACACUGGAACUGAAACACGGUCCAGACUCCUACGGGAGGCAGCAGUGGGGAAUUUUGCGCAAUGGGGGAAACCCUGACGCAGCAACGCCGCGUGGAGGAUGAAGUACUCUC
rnacentral:rRNA from 1 species